AGAGAAGUAUAAGACUAGUGGAUCCUGAGUUUUCUUUGAUUGUGGAUGAUGGUUCUGUUCUUCUUCAAGAAAUAAGACAGCAACAUUGGUCGUCCAAAACCUAACUCAGAGAUGCUAAAAAAGAACUCAAAUCCGUCAUCAGGAACUUAAUGCUUCAUUAUGAUAAUCAGUGCCCCGUCAUCAAAAGCUUGAAGCUUUCAAGGAAAUCAAGCUCAACAAGAAGGUUGCCAACAAACAAGACUGGUUCUUUCGAGCCAGAUUCAGUAAGUUUGAUUUCAAAUGAGGACCUUGUUCUUGACCUUUAUUUUCUUGAACGAGGAUCGAACCCACAUCAAAGUAUAUAGAUAUAAUUGAUUUUCGUCAUUGUGGUAAUAACCCAUUUGCGAGAUUCUAGUAAUUAGAAUUGAUUGCCUCACUCUAGUACUUUUCUUCGCUUGUAAAUGUGUUAAAAAAUGAUGCAGUUCGUCUCCAAAAUAUACUUGCACAUAUUCUAAAUUGAAAUUUUUUUCUUCUCCUUUAUAUCUUAGGGUUUUUGGCUGAAAUGAUUCACUUUUGACAUUUGGUUGGUGAAAUAAUUUGUUUUAGUGUCAUCAUUCUGUUGUUGAUAUAUAAUGAAUAUGUCGUCGAUAUUUUACUUCGAUCAUUUCAAUAACCAUAUAUUAAAAGAGGAACCUUUUAGCUAAUUGCGGUUUAUCUUAUAUCUUGAGCUAAAGUUCGCGCCCAACAUGACAUGGUUUUUAUCUUUUGGAUCAGUUGAGAGAUAUAAAUUUAUGGUUAGUAUUUAUUAUUUAUAGAAAUGUUAUAUACAUAUAGACUUGCACCAAGAUGUAUAGGCAUUGCUUAAUUCCUACCAAUGCAAUAAAGUGUCGUCUAUAUAUAACCAAUAAAAAAAUGAAAUGAUAUAUUUUGGUUAUAAACACAAUUUUAACAUUAAAAGCAGAUAAUUCAGACUCUUCUAGUUAUGCACAUGCGAAUAAAUUACAUUGUUUACUGUUUCAAAUAAUCUGUGUGCAUGUAUGAUUUUAAAGUUGUAACGUACAAACUCAUAAAAUCCUUAAAUACUCUUUAAUUGAUUUUUGUUUGUUGAGGAAUUUAGUGGAGGUAAUUAACACAAAGAAAACGUAUUCAUCCAAGAUCUAUAAACCUAACAAAACAAAGACAAAUUACAGUUGUCUAUGUAGCUUCAUUCCAAUAUUUUAGUCUACCCCGUCAAAUGAGUCUAAUCUGGAUUUUUCAUGCUAGACUCAUGAAGUUCAAUUUGACUCAAAAUAACGUUUCAACGAAGUAAUAGAGUUUCAAUUAUAUAUGGUUCUCAAAUCAUAUAAUUUUGUUUUAUUAUUUAUAGAAACUAUAGUGAGUGUCUCUAAGGUACGAGAAUAGUGAUUAUUAGGGGCAGUACAUUAAGGGCGGAUAUAAGGAUUUGUCCCUAUUAAUCUUUAUUAAGGGUAGAAAUAUAAAUUUGUCUCUAUUAAUUGUAAUAGAGGCAAAACAAUAAACACCAUGUUGUAAGCAUAAUUUACCAAAUAAUUAUUGACUUCAUAAAGAGAGGGGUGCGGCACAUAGAGAGAAGAAGAGAGAAAGUGUAAUUGUGAGGUGUGUUCUAUUCCACCCCAUUGUGCCCUUAUUUAAAGUAGUAGGGAAGAUUAAUUCCUUACCCUAAUAGAAUUACAACUCUAAUAGGAUAUUAACUACUAAAGGGAAUAUUCAAAGAUAUCCCUAGAUACACUAGGAUUUACACAAUCAUAUUCCUAAUUUAAUAGCACUGCAACACGCCCCUAUUAAAGUUACUACUUUUAGGGGCAAAAAAACCCCAUAUACAAAAUUUAGUUAUUAGGGGCGGAUAAAUGAGCCUCUAAUAUAUAUAUUUUUAACUUAUUUAGUUUUUUAAUUUAAUAAUUUACAUUAAGAGCAUUUAUCUUCUUAUAUUUAACUUUUUUCUUAAUUAUUAAUCAAAUAAAUAAGACAGCUAUCAUAACCCUAAUUCUAAGAUAACUAAGUUAUUCGUUCGCUUCACUCGUUUUCAAUGAGGAAUUCAAAAGUAAUUUACAACUUGGCUUGACUACAUGUCUACAACAACUUAUCUCUCCUGCACUUUAAAAGAAGAUCGUGCCCUUCUUAGAGACUCAUCAUAGGAAUUGCACCCCCCGAGGGACCAACCAUGCUCUCCAAUGCGAGAAGGUAAACUAAUUCCUCGACACCCACAUAGGACUCAUUUCCAAAGCAGGAGGAUAAACUCUACACUCCGAAUAUCUAGACGUGGAUGAGCCUGGUUGCAU
rnacentral:lncRNA from 1 species